UAGUUAUGUUCUUUAAACCUAAAGAAUUUGGCGGUGUUUUAAUUCUGUUCAGAGGAACUUGCCCCGUUAUCGAUAGUCCUCGUUCUAUCUUUCUUGAUCUUGUUUUAAUUAACAUUCAGCAUGUAUACCGCCGUUAUAAGCUUAUUUUUUGAGAAUUUAAUUUGCUAAUUUUUUUAUUAAAACUUAUUUCAGGUCAAGGUGCAGCCUAUGUUUAAGUGGAGGUGAGUUACAAUAUUUUUGAAUAAAUGGAUUUUUUAGUUAAAUUUUUUUAUGAAGGUGGAUUUGAUGGUAAUUUUAUUUAUAGUGUUAUUUUGACCUUGGCUCUAAAACAAGUACACAUCGCCCGUCGCUCU
rnacentral:rRNA from 1 species